rnacentral:rRNA from 1 species
UACGGGGGGGGGCAAGCGUUGUUCGGAAUUACUGGGCGUAAAGGGCUCGUAGGCGGCCAACUAAGUCCGACGUGAAAUCCCCAGGCUUAACCUGGGAACUGCGUCGGAUACUGGAUGGCUUGAAUCCGGGAGAGGGAUGCGGAAUUCCAGGUGUAGCGGUGAAAUGCGUAGAUAUCUGGAGGAACACCGGUGGCGAAGGCGGCAUCCUGGACCGAGAUUGACGCUGAGGCGCGAAAGCCAGGGGAGCAAACGGG